UUUGAGCAAAGUCAAGAGUCACGUGACGCAGAUCGGGAGCCUGCGCAGCAGCCAUUUUAAACGGUGGUGUUACUGUUAAGACCUCUUCAGGAAUUAAGGUAAGUAAAAUUACAUUCUACAUUUAAAUGUUACGUGUCAUAAAGUCCGUUCAUGGAAGGGAACUUCGUUGCCUUUAUAGUUUGUUUCCGACGGACCAUUAAACAGUUGCCACUGACCUGAGAGCUGUGACAGACAGCUGAGCUCUCUGAUAUCGUUCAUGUUGUGCGUUCAUGUCAAAUAUAGGGGGCGCAGCAGAUGACACUCCAUUUGAGGCUGAAAUAGUUCUGGAAUGGUGUUCAGGUUCUGUGAGGAUUGUCCAGUCUCACCAAAGCGUGCAUUUCCUUGUUUGGCCGAAUAUAUUGUCUUGAUCUUAAGACUUGGGUACACUUUUAAAUUCUUUAAAAAAUACUGCUGCACUUAGACAGUGCAAAACUGUCUCAGAAGAUUUUAACAUUAAAAAAUAAACUGAGUGUUGACUUAAUUUUCUACACACAUUCAUACACCACACUCAGACACACGUGUACAACACAAAUUUAGUAGCAUGUUAAUUAAUGUUAUUGUUACAACAUUUACUUGUUGUUUACUUAUUUUCAAAUGAAUGUCUUGCCCUGUUAGCAACAUACGGCAUACAACAAUAGACAUUACAUGCUGAUUCAUGUUAUUGUUAUGAAAUGUCUUGUUUAAUUUUUUAUGAAUUUUUAUGCCUUGUAGCAACAUAUUAUGCACUA